rnacentral:ribozyme from 11 species
GCGAACAAACGUGGACGAAAAAAGGCAGUCAAAGGAGAGAAUAGACAUGAAGAGAAGCGGAGAGCACGUCAUUCCUGUACGCCGCUCUCUACUUUCCGUUUUUCCUUUCCUUACAUUUUUUCCUUCCUU